CAAUAGCGUAUAUUAAAGUUGUUGCAGUUAAAAAGCUCGUAGUUGGAUUUCUGGUUGAAGCGACCGGUCGGGCGUUGAUUCGUCUGCACUGGAGUCGGUUUUGGCCAUCCUCUAGGAAAGUGCGUCUGGUAUUAAGUUAUCGGGCGUAUGAUCCUGGUCUUUUACUGUGAAAAAAUUAGAGUGUUUAAAGCAGGCCUUCGCCUUGAAUACAUUAGCAUGGAAUAAUAAGAUAGGACUUUGGUCUAUUUUGUUGGUUUGCAGACCGAAGUAAUGAUUAAUAGGGAUAGUUGGGGGUAUUUAUAUUCAGAUGUCAGAGGUGAAAUUCUUAGAUUUUCGGAAGAUAAACUUAUGCGAAAGCAUUUACCAAGGAUGUUUUCAUUAA
rnacentral:rRNA from 1 species